GACGAACGCUGGCGGCGUGCUUAACACAUGCAAGUCGAACGCUGAAGCACCAGCUUGCUGGUGUGGAUGAGUGGCGAACGGGUGAGUAAUACGUGAGUAACCUGCCCUUGACUCUGGGAUAAGCCCGGGAAACUGGGUCUAAUACUGGAUGCUACAUGUCACUGCAUGGUGGGGUGUGGAAAGGGUUUACUGGUCUUGUACGGGCUCACGGCCUGUCAGCUUGUUGGGUAGGUAAUGGCUCACCAAGGCGACGACGGGUAGCCGGCCGGGGAGGGUGACCGGCCACACUGGGACUGAGACACGGCCCAGACUCCUAGGGGGGGCAGCAGGGGGGAAUAUUGCACAAGGGGCGAAAGCCUGAUGCAGCGACGCCGCGUGAGGGAUGACGGCCUUCGGGUUGUAAACCUCUUUCAGCAGGGAAGAAGCCACAAGUGACGGUACCUGCAGAAGAAGCGCCGGCUAACUACGUG
rnacentral:rRNA from 1 species